rnacentral:rRNA from 1 species
CCCUUAGAUGUUCUGGGCCGCACGCGCGCUACACUGUUCGACGCAGCGAGUCUUAACCUUGACCGAAAGGUUUGGGUAAUCUUCAGCAAAGUCGAACGUGAUGGGGAUCGAUCAUUGCAAUUAUUGAUCGUGAACGAGGAAUUCCUAGUAAGUGCAAGUCAUCAGCUUGCGCUGAUUACGUCCCUGCCCUUUGUACACACCGCCCGUCGCUACUACCGAUUGAAUGGCUUAGUGAGCCUUUGGGAUUGGCAGCCAACACCGGCAACGGUAGCUGGCCGCCGAAAACUUAUGCAAACUUGGUCAUUUAGAGGAAGUAAAAGUCGUAACA